GGAGGCUCCGAGAUCGGUCUUCAAAACCGGUGCGGCGUGGCAGCCUCACGCUCGGUCGGUUCGACUCCGGCGCCGCUCCG
rnacentral:tRNA from 1 species